rnacentral:snoRNA from 12 species
GCUGUGAUGAAUUUAAUUAAAUUGAUCAUCUGAUUUUACUGUUGUCCUCUAAGAAGUUCUGAGCUU